UAUGGUUUGACUUUUGGAACCAUGUUAAUGUUUUACAUAUUUAUAAAGUAAUUCAACAAGUUUGGAGAAGAAACUCUAAAACUGAAUACAAACAGAAACAAGGAAACUGAACUAUACAUCAAAUGGAUAAUCAUAUAGAAUAAAAAAAAGAACUUACCCAAGUAAUGUUUGAACAUAGUACCUUGACUAAAUUUCUCAGUCUAAACACAACACAAGUCUAAACACAAGAAAUCUUGAACUCUGCUUAAGGGGUUUAUUGCUUCCCGGAACAGGGGUAGCAAUUCUGAAACUAUUUUGUGUACAUUGUAGCAUUGGCAAAUAAGUAACCAUUCUGACAUUGUUGGGAGCCAGAGUGCUCACUUUUGGAGAGGGGAGGCACAGAUCCGGAAUGCAGGAAGGGAAGGAGAACCCUGUGGGCUGGAUUGGUAAACACUCAUGCUUUUUUCUUUCUUUCUUUUUAAAAAGUAUUUCCUAGUUCUGUUUGCUGCAAGAGUGAGUACCCGUGAAGAGAUCUGUUUCCCAAAUCUUGGUUUCUAAAAAUCAUUCCCUUCUAAAAGGACCCAGGGCUGCUGCUUUUUUUUUUUUUUUUUUUGAGGAAGAUUAGCCCUGAGCUAACUAUUGCCAAUCCUCCCCUCUUUGCUAAGGAAGACCGGCCCUGAGCUAACAUCCACGCCCAUCUUCCUCCACUUUACACGUGGGACGCCUACCACAGAUUGGCUUUUGCCAAGCGGUGCCAUGUCCGCACCCAGGAUCCAGGCCAGUGAACCCCAGGCCACGGAGAAGCGGAACGUGCGCACUUAUCCGCUGCGCCACCGGCCUGCCGAACCCAGGGCUUCUUGAAGUGUUGACUGUUUCUAUGGCUAGGGCAGGGGAAACAACACGGGCCUGGGACGCUUGCUAUGCCAGGAAGAAGAGAAGCCAGCAGAUGGGCUUCCCCAGGCCAAACCUGGGAUAAUUUGAGCACCAAAGUGAGUAGUAGUGUUAAUGGAUUGUACCCCAUUGAAUAAAGAAGAAUCCACGAGUUCAUACUGACGCUGAAGACAAACAAGCACGAGCAUGGCAGAGAGGGCUGGGAGAAGGAUGGUUCUUUACAGUGGAACGCCCAGUAACAAAUGAAGAAGGGAUUAUAAGAGUUAGAAAAUCACCAUUUAUGCAAUUACCAUAGUAAUAACUUAUUUAGGGAAGCAUCAUCAGUGGAUGCUGAAAGUUUGUUCUAGAAAAUUUAUUGGGGAACAGGGUAUUUACAUAGUCUCAAAGUAUGUUCCCACAGUUAUUUAUUAAAUGCAAAGAGAAAAACAGAGGACAAAUCUAGCGGAAACUCCUUUAACCAAGUGGUCAAGGUCAACAGCAUCAUCACGAAUGAUACAAACUGACCUAAGGUGUCUCCUGAUGUGAUGGACUAAAUUGCUUAGGUAGUGUUUCCGUCAAAAACGUAUAAUCCUAAUUGACUCAUGAGGAAGCCAUGGGAACAAAACAACGGGCCUGCACUCUUCAAAAAUGUCGCUGUCAUGAAAGACAAAACAAGGCUGAGGAACCGUUCCAGAUUAAAAGAGAUUAAAGAGACAUGAUAAGUACAUGAAAUAUAUGAUUCUGGGUUGGGAAAAAAAGAUUUUUAUGAAGCAGAAUACUGGAAAAAUUAGUGAAAUUUGAGUACGGACUGUAUAGUAGAUAAUAACAUUGUCUAAAUGCUAAAUUUCCUGAUUUUGAUAAUUGCUUUGUGUUCAGGUAAGAGAAUGCCAUUAUUCUCAGGAGACAUAUGCAGAGGUACUUGGAAGAGAGGGUCAUAAUCUCUGAAACUAAGUCUCAAAUGGUUCAGUAAAAACACAAUAAAACAAAAACCUGUCGAUUUCCAUAUGGACUAUAAUAUCUUCCUGAAACUAGGAAAUAUACUUUAGAAAUUUCUAUGGAGUUUUUAGGCCUGAUUCCACAUUUUCCCAUCAAAUGGCUUUUCUUUAGCUCCUUCUUUAGUUUGUUAUAGGGGUUGCUAGAAAGGUAAAGGGUAGUAUAUUGCAUCUACUAUGCUUUCUAGGCUAAAGGUGAUGCGGUCCAUGUCUUUAAGGAAGUGGGAUAUUUUCCAAGGUACUGACUUUUCCAAACUGCUAUAGUCAGACUCAUUUGAUUUCAAGAAAUAGACACUCGAGCUAAAGGUGAUAAUUGUAACAAAGGGGAGACAUUUCCUGGCAUGCUACAAAUAGGAAACACACUGGAAUUAAGUCUCAGAGACUAGAGCUGAAGAGUGGCUGCAGACUUCCGCAGAAAUGUGUGGGCCUUCACUCCAUGCUUGGCCUCAGUGUGAUUAAGUGACACCACACUCUUUCCUGUGUCCAGGUGGCCAGCCUAGGGGUCAAGUGAGGAAUGCGCUUUUAUCAGUCGUGAGGCCCUUCCUGAAGGCUAAGAAAAUAAUUGCAGCUGUAAAGAAGAAUGAGGAGUCUCUUUAUUUACUACAGUGGAGUGUCUUCAGGUCUACUGGUAGGUUAAAAAAGCAAGGAGGAAUUUGAAGUUAAGAAAACAAUUCCCUUUACAGUAACAUCAAAAAGAAUAAAAUACUGAGGAAUAAAUUUAACAAAAGAAGUACAAAACUCAUACUCUGAAAACUACAAAAUACUGUUAAAAGAAACUAAAGAAGACAUAAAUAAACGGGAAGACAUCCAGUAUUCAUGGAUCGGAAGACUCAGUAUUGCUGAAAUGGCAAAACUUCCCCAGUUGACCUGCGAAUACAACGUAAUCUCCAUCAAAAUCCCAGGUGGCUUUUUUCCAGAAAUUGACAAUUCAUAUGGAAAUGCAAGGGAUCGAGAAUAGCUAAACAAUCUUGAAAAAGAAGAAAGUUGGAAGACUCACAUUUCCUGAGUUCAAACUUACUACAAAUUCACAGUAAUUGAGACAGUGGGGUACUGGCAUAAGGAUAGACAUAUAGAUCAAUGGAAUAAAAUUGAGACUCCAGAAAUAAAUUAUUACAUUUAUGGUCAACUGAUUUUCUACAAGGGUGCCAACACAAUUAAAUUGAGCAAAGACUAGAAUAAUCUUCUCAACAAGUGGUGCUAGGACCACUGAAUAUUCAUAUGCAAAAGAAUGAAGUUGGAACUCUACCUCAUCCCAGACACAAAAAUUAACUCACAACUAUGAAUCACAGACCUAAAUGUUAAGAAUUAAAACUAUAAAACACUUAGAAUAAAACAUCAGAGUAAAUGUUUAUGACCUUGGGCUAGGCAAGGCCUUCUUAGACAAAAUGCCAAAAGCACAGCAACAAAAGAACAAGUAGAUAAAUAAGACUUCAUAAAAAAAAAACAAACCCAAACUUCUGUGCUUCGGACACCGUGAAGAAAAUGAAGACAACAGAACGGGAGAGGAUAUUUGCAAGUCGUGUGUUGGUAAAGGACUUGUAUCCAGAAUACAUAAAGAACUCAUACAACAAUAGAAAGACAAAUAACCCAACUGAUAAACAGAUGAAGGAUUCGAGCAGACAUUUCUCCAAAGAAGAUAAAUAAAUGGCCAAUAAGCACAUGAAAAGAUGCUCCACAUCAUUAGCAAUAGGGAAAUGAAAAUUAAAAUUAUAAUGAGAUCUCAUUUCACUCACACCAAGACGGCUAUAAACAAAAAGCUGGACAAUAACAAGUGGUGGCAAGAAUGUGGAAUCCAUAUUGCUGUGGGAAUGUAAAACGGUGCAGCUGCUUUGGAAAACAGUUUGGCAGUUCCUCUGAAUGUUAAACAUGGAGUUAGCAUGUGACUCAGCAAUUCCACCCAAGUAAAAUGAAAACAUACGUCUACACAAUAAUUUGUACACAAAUGUUCACAGCAACAUUAUUCAGAAUAGCCAAAAAGUGGAAAAACCCAAAUGUUCAUCAACUGAUGAAUGGAUACAUAACAUGUGGUAUACCCAUAUAAUGGAAUAAAUUCAUCAAUAAAAAGGAAUGAAGUACCAGUACGCACACUACAUAGAUGAACCUUGAAAACGUUACGGUACAUAGAAAAGGCCAGCUGCAAGAGACCACAUGUUGUAUGUUUGAUUUAUAUGAAAUAGUCAGAAUAGGCAAAUCUCUAGAGACAGAAAGUGGAUCAGUGGUUGCUUAGCGCUAGGGAGGAUGGGGGACUGAAAAGGGUGACUAAGGCAUGCAGGGUGUCUUUUGGGGGUAACUAAAAUGUUCUAAAAUUGUGAUGAUGGUUGCACAACUUUGUGAAUACACUAAAAACCAUUAAAUCGUACACUUUAAAUGAGUGAAUUGAGUGCAUAGUAUGAUACCAUUUAUUUUAAAAGGAAGAAUGAAAAUAUAUAUUAUAUAUAAAUAUAUAUAAUUGCACAUAUAUUUACAAAAUGGAAG
ensembl:lncRNA